GCAGGAAACGUGAAGUAAAUCAAUUCCCUAGCCCUCCGAAGGCAGAGGUGGCGCGUUCGAAUCGCGCCGGGUGCACCA
rnacentral:tRNA from 1 species